GACGCGGUGGCCUAAUGGUUAGCGUGUUGGACUCUGGAUCUAGUGGCCCGGGUUUGAGUGCUGACCGGGAUCA